GAUGAACGCUGGCGGCGUGCCUAAUACAUGCAAGUCGAGCGAACGGACGAGAAGCUUGCUUCUCUGAUGUUAGCGGCGGACGGGUGAGUAACACGUGGAUAACCUACCUAUAAGACUGGGAUAACUUCGGGAAACCGGAGCUAAUACCGGAUGAUAUUUUGAACCGCAUGGUUCAAAAGUGAAAGACGGUCUUGCUGUCACUUAUAGAUGGAUCCGCGCUGCAUUAGCUAGUUGGUAAUGUAACGGCUUACCAAGGCAACGAUGCAUAGCCGACCUGAGAGGGUGAUCGGCCACACUGAAACUGAGACACGGUCCAGACUCCUACGGGAGGCAGCAGUAGGGAAUCUUCCGCAAUGGGCGAAAGCCUGACGGAGCAACGCCGCGUGAGUGAUGAAGGUCUUCGGAUCGUAAAACUCUGUUAUUAGGGAAGAACAUAUGUGUAAGUAACUGUGCACAUCUUGACGGUACCUAAUCAGAAAGCCACGGCUAACUACGUG
rnacentral:rRNA from 1 species